AUGGCACGAAGAGGCACUGUAGCCUACCAUCUAGACUUACCCGAAGACUUGUCCGACAUUCACGACGUGUUCCACGUCUCUCAGUUAAGGAAGUGCGUAAGCAACCCAGAGAAACAAGUAUCCCAUGAAAACAUUGAUGUGCAGCCAGACCUCACUUAUCGGGAACAUCCCGUAAGAAUAUUAGAGGAGUCUGAAAGGAGGACCCGAUAG
rnacentral:rRNA from 1 species